UUUGAAUACAGGUGUGAGGUUACAGUAACCUAAUAAGACCAAAAUCAUUUGAUUUUUUUUUCUUUUUUUUCCAUGUCUGUCCUGUCUGAACUUCGGUGACUCUUCACAAAAUAGUACGCACUUCUGGGGCCCAGUAGCCAACUGGGGUCUUCCCAUUGCUGCCAUCAAUGACAUGAAAAAGUCUCCAGAGAUUAUCAGUGGGCGGAUGACAUUCGCUCUCUGUUGCUAUUCUUUGACAUUCAUGAGAUUUGCCUACAAGGUACAGCCUCGGAACUGGCUUCUGUUUGCAUGUCACGCAACAAAUGAAGUAGCCCAGCUCAUCCAGGGAGGGCGGCUUAUCAAACACGAGAUGACUAAAAAGGCAUCUGCAUAACAAUGGAAAAUGAAGAACAAGGUCUUGAAGGGACAGCAUUGCCAGCUGCUGCUGAGUCACAGAUUUCAUUACAAAUAGCCUCACUAAGGAAAAUACACUGAAUGCUAUUUUUACUAACCAUUCUAUUUUUAUAGAAAUAGCUGAGAGUUUCUAAACCAACUCUCUGCUGCCUUACAAGUAUUAAAUAUUUUACUUCUUU
rnacentral:sRNA from 1 species